rnacentral:rRNA from 1 species
CAGCCGCCGCGGUAAUACGAAGGGGGCUAGCGUUGUUCGGAUUUACUGGGCGUAAAGGGUGCGUAGGCGGAUUGUUAAGUCAGGGGUGAAAUCCCGAGGCUCAACCUCGGAACUGCCUUUGAUACUGGCGAUCUUGAGUCCGGGAGAGGUGAGUGGAACUGCGAGUGUAGAGGUGAAAUUCGUAGAUAUUCGCAAGAACACCGGUGGCGAAGGCGGCUCACUGGCCCGGUACUGACGCUGAGGCACGAAAGCGUGGGGAGCAAACAGGAUUAGAUACCCCUGUAGUCCCUGUCUCUUAUAC